UAGGGAAUCUUCCGCAAUGGACGAAAGUCUGACGGAGCAACGCCGCGUGAGUGAUGAAGGUUUUCGGAUCGUAAAGCUCUGUUGUUAGGGAAGAUCAAGUGCCGUUCAAAUAGGGCGGCACCUUGACGGUACCUAACCAGAAAGCCACGGCUAACUACGUGCCAGCAGCCGCGGUAAUACGUAGGUGGCAAGCGUUGUCCGGAAUUAUUGGGCGUAAAGGGCUCGCAGGCGGUUUCUUAAGUCUGAUGUGAAAGCCCCCGGCUCAACCGGGGAGGGUCAUUGGAAACUGGGGAACUUGAGUGCAGAAGAGGAGAGUGGAAUUCCACGUGUAGCGGUGAAAUGCGUAGAGAUGUGGAGGAACACCAGUGGCGAAGGCGACUCUCUGGUCUGUAACUGACGCUGAGGAGCGAAAGCGUGGGGAGCGAACA
rnacentral:rRNA from 1 species